rnacentral:rRNA from 1 species
GACGAACGCUGGCGGCGUGCUUAACACAUGCAAGUCGAACGGUGAAGCGCCUUCCUUUUUGGUGGGUGUGGAUGAGUGGCGAACGGGUGAGUAACACGUGAGUAACCUGCCCCCUUCUUCUGGAUAACCGCAUGAAAGUGUGGCUAAUACGGGAUAUUCUGGGUCUGUCGCAUGAUGGGUCUGGGAAAGAUAUUGUUUCGGUGGGGGAUGGGCUCGCGGCCUAUCAGCUUGUUGGUGGGGUGAUGGCCUACCAAGGCGGUGACGGGUAGCCGGCCUGAGAGGGUGGACGGUCACACUGGGACUGAGACACGGACCAGACUCCUACGGGAGGCAGCAGUGGGGAAUAUUGCACAAUGGGCGCAAGCCUGAUGCAGCGACGCCGCGUGAGGGAUGGAGGCCUUCGGGUUGUGAACCUCUUUCGCCAGUGAAGCAGGGCUGCCUCGUUUGUGGGUGGGUUGACGGUAGCUGGAUAAGAAGCGCCGGCUAACUACGUG